rnacentral:tRNA from 2 species
GGGGUGUUAGUCUAGUCGUAUGAUGGUGGCCUCCAGAGUCACUGGUCGCGGGUUCAAUUCCCACACACCCCA